UCCCUGGUGGUCUAGUGGCUAGGAUUCGGCGCUUUCACCGCCGCGGCCCGGGUUCGAUUCCCGGUCAGGGUUAA